AGGUGAUUUCCUCCUUCUGUUCCGAGGAGGGGAUAAUGGAGUCGGGUGGCGGGGAGCUGGGAGAGAGCGGGCCCGGAUUGGGACCUGGCCUUGGGCCCGGGGCUGAAGCGAGUCCUGCAUGUGGAGUCACCGGCAUUCCUACCAACAACAGCUUCGGCAAACAAAAGGCGUUACCGAAAGGCCGCGAGUUUUUCAGAAACCAGCGAAAAGAUUCUGAGGGUUUCUCCGAAUCACCUGACCUGGAGUUUGAAUAUUCUGACAGUGAUAAAUGGGCAGCAGAACUUUCAGAGCUCUAUAGCUACACAGAGGGUCCUGAGCUUCACCUGAAUAGAAAAUGCUUUGAAGAAGAAUUCAAGACUCAUGUGAAAGACAAGAAAUGGAUUGAAGUGGAUAUCUCAGAGCAUCAGACACAUGCCAUGAGAUUGCUGGAUGGCCUAGAGGUAACUGCCAGGGAGAAAAGGCUGAAAGUGGCUCGUGCUAUACUUUAUAUGGCACAAGGUACUUUUGGUGAAUGUAACUCUGAAGAAGAGGUCCACCAAUGGAUGAGAUAUAAUAUAUUUCUGCUGCUUGAAGUUGGCACCUUUACUGCAUUGGUGGAACUACUCAGCAUGGAGAUUGACAACAGUGCAGCAUGUAGUAAUGCAGUGAGAAAGCCAGCAAUCUCUUUGGCUGACAGUACAGACCUAAGAGUGCUACUGAACAUAAUGUACCUGAUGGUGGAGACAAUCCGUCAGGAAACAGAAGAGGAUAAUCUGGAGUGGAGGGCAAUGAGGGAGACCUUCAGAACAGACCUAGGUGUAUCCCUGUACAACAAUGAACCAUUUUCAGUUAUGCUGUUUGGGAUGGUGACCAAAUUCUGCAGUGGCCAUGCUCCCCAUUUCCCCAUGAAGAAGGUUCUCUUAUUGCUUUGGAAAACUGUGUUGCUGUCGCUAGGAGGCUUUGAAGACUUGCAGGUUCUUAAAGUUAAGAAACGUGAGGCACUUGGUCUUCCACCACUCCCCGAAGACAGCAUUAAAGUGAUCCGUAACAUGAGAGCUGCCUCACCACCAGCAUCUGCCUCUGACCUAAUAGAGCAGCAGCAGAAACGGGCUCGUAGAGAGCACAAGGCACUGAUGAAGCAGGAUAAUUUGGAUGCUUAUAAUGAGAAAGACCCAUACAAAACAGAUGAUCCUCGUGAAGAUGAUGAUGAGAAUGAUGAUAAUGAUAACUCAAUUGAGGCAGAAACAUUCCCUUUAGAGAGGGAAGAGGUUUUGCCACCAGCGAUCCCACAUGCAACUGUUGAACGAUUAUCAGUCCCAAAGGGACUACCUUGGGCCCCAAAAGUGAGAGAAAAAGACAUUGAAACGUUUUUGGAAUCCAGCAGGAGUAAGUUCAUCGGUUAUACUUUAGGCAAUGACACGGAUACUGUUGUUGGAUUACCACGGCCCAUCCACGAAAGUAUCAAAACUCUUAAGCAGCACAAGUACAUUUCAAUAUCUGAAAUUCAGAUCAAGAAGGAGGAGGAAUAUUUGAAAAAGCCACUCUCUGCCGGAGAUGAAGAGUUUGACCUGACACCUGCUGAAAUUCUGUACCAGGGUAUACUACCCAGUCUGCCUCAAUACAUGAUUGCUUUACUAAAGAUCCUUCUGGCUGCAGCCCCAACCUCAAAAGCAAAGACUGAUUCAAUCAAUAUUCUUGCAGAUGUCCUGCCAGAAGAAAUGCCUACCACUGUGCUGCAGAGUAUGAAACUUGGAGUUGAUGUCAACAGACACAAAGAGAUCAUUGUAAAAGCAAUUUCUGCUGUCUUGUUAUUGUUACUUAAGCACUUCAAACUCAACCACAUCUAUCAAUUUGAAUACAUGGCACAGCACCUGGUUUUUGCCAAUUGCAUUCCACUUAUUUUAAAGUUUUUCAAUCAAAACAUCAUGUCCUACAUUACAGCAAAGAACAGUAUUUCGGUUCUGGAUUUUCCUUACUGUGUUGUACAUGAACUCCCUGAACUGACGGCAGAGAGCUUGGAAACAGGAGAUAAUAACCAGUUCUGCUGGAGGAAUCUCUUUUCGUGCAUAAACCUCCUUCGAAUCCUUAAUAAACUGACCAAAUGGAAACAUUCAAGGACAAUGAUGCUGGUAGUAUUUAAGUCAGCUCCAAUCCUGAAACGAGCACUCAAAGUGAAACAAGCCAUGAUGCAGUUAUAUGUUCUGAAGUUGCUGAAGGUACAGACCAAAUACUUGGGUCGCCAAUGGCGGAAGAGCAACAUGAAGACAAUGUCUGCAAUCUAUCAGAAGGUGCGCCAUCGACUGAAUGACGACUGGGCUUAUGGGAAUGAUCUUGACGCCCGUCCGUGGGAUUUUCAGGCUGAGGAAUGUGCAUUGAGAGCCAACAUUGAACGUUUUAAUAGUCGCAGAUAUGACAAAAAUCCAAGUAAUCCUGAUUUUGCUCCAGUGGAUAACUGUUUGCAGAGUGUACUGGGACAGCAGCUGGUGCUGCCAGAGGAAUUCCAAAUGAACUAUGACUUGUGGCUUGAGAGGGAAGUGUUCUCGAAACCAAUCAGCUGGGAGGAGCUUCUUCAAUGUUGCCUGAACUGAGUAUUUCUAGUAUGUUUUUCUAUUACCAUCUUAGUUUUGUGGAUCGAUUUCAACGUGUGCAAAUUAAUCAGUGCAAAAUUACCAAGAGUCAUCUUCACUGUUAAUUAUCUGACUGAAAAAAUGGAAUGAAAAUACUAGAAAUAGAAGAUGCUGCUGCCAAGGGUGUAGCUUGUAAAGCUGGAAGACCAAAGAGAGUCAAAGAUGGAUCUGUACCGCCGAGAUGGGCUGCACUUGAACCAGGAGCAGAGUCAGAGGGAGGAGCAGCCAGAGCACGGUAAUAUAAAUCUAACUUACCUUGGGGAUUCAUGGCCUUGUUUCCAGGAGUGGAGGCAGAGGGAGGUGUACCCGGAGCACCCAAAUCCAAACUGGAAAUGAUACUUUGAACCCUCUGAGACCUCAAACCAAGGUUCAAUUUGACUUCGCCCGUUAGUGUUGAAGAUCGCAGGCAAUGGUUGAAGGGCAAGUGAGAGAUCCUUACUGUCUGGUCCUUCCAGACUUGAAGCUUAAGACACCAUAUUGGUCAUCUCAGAGAUUCCUGAGUGCCUAAAAUAUCUGAUGAAAAUCAUCCUGCAGAUGUCCAAUCAGAAACAGUGAAGGGGAAGAAUCAAAAUUGUUUCUAAAAGUUGAGUGGAUAUUUGAGUUAUUAUUUUCUAAAAGAAUGUUGGGAAAGAUUAAAGAAUUAAACUCCAA